UCUUAUUUCAGGCUCAGAUGGUAAAGAAUCUGCCUACAGUGCAGGAGACCUGGGUUUGAUCCCCAGAUUGGGAA
rnacentral:tRNA from 1 species